AUCCACAUGGCAAUACUUUGUUUUUAAUAACGUACUCAUCCAACCAACUAUGUAGCUUUCUACUUCUUUAUUUUCAUGUUUUCAUGAAUAUUGUUUUCUAAAUUAACAAACAAGAAAUUAAAAUAUGAUGCAAUCAACAUAAAAAAAUAUUAACUGAAAAAAAAAACAGUUGGUGGGAUUUGAUAGGCGAAUAAAUCAGCAUCAAUAUGGCUGGGGGCGGUGCAGAAAAUUAACAUCACUCCACAAAACAAGUUGAGGCCAACACCAGAUGCAGACAAGAGUCAUUGACCAAUACAAAAUACAAGAUAUUAUUUCUCAUAUUUUGCUUCUCUAUUUGCCUAUUUCAUUACUCUAGAUUAAAUUAAUCUCAGACUAUUUGAGAUUAAUAUGUUUCAUAAUUAUCUGAAAUUGUUUUUGUCACAGGGAUUAAUUUUGUCAUAUGAGAAGAUCAAAACUCAUGGCAUUGUCUUGAAACUAAAUAUCUGACUAUAUCCUCC
rnacentral:lncRNA from 1 species